rnacentral:rRNA from 1 species
UACAGAGGUCUCAAGCGUUGUUCGGAUUCAUUGGGCGUAAAGGGUGCGUAGGUGGCGCCAUAAGUCAGGGGUGAAAUCCUGGAGCUCAACUCCAGAACUGCCUUUGAUACUGAAGAUCUUGAGUAUGGGAGAGGUGAGUGGAACUGCGAGUGUAGAGGUGAAAUUCGUAGAUAUUCGCAAGAACACCAGUGGCGAAGGCGGCUCACUGGCCCAUUACUGACGCUGAGGCACGAAAGCGUGGGGAGCAAACAGG